UCUCUUAGUCUGUCAGCAAAUCAUGGAGAACAAGGCUUUCUUCGUGUUGUUUUUGGCGCUCGCCAUGUUUGUGAUGAUGCUGGCCAUGGGCGUGGACGUGGGAGGAAUCACAAAGGCUGCUGCCCAGCGCUGCCAGUCGGGGUGGUAUUGGUAUGACAAUAGUUGCCACCGUUGCCAGAGGGGUUGGAGCUGGCGCAACAAUCGCUGCUGGCGCAACUGAAACCUCUUGUUUCACGGGUGCCAAAGGUCUGGAAACAAGAAUAAAGACACUGAUAACGUGUUUUAUGUAUCAUGCGAUGCUGGAUGGCAUUGCAUGAGUUCCAGCAAUAAUAUAUAAAUUGUCCAGGCCUUGAUAUAAAA